GAUGAACGCUGGCGGCGUGCCUAAUACAUGCAAGUCGAGCGAACAGACGAUGAUCUUGCGCCGCGCACGUUAGCGGCAGGCGGGUGAGUAACACGUGUAUAACCUACCUGUAAUACUGGUAUAACUUCGGGAAACCGGAUCAAAUACCAUAUAAUAUCUUGAACCGCAGUGUGCGAUGGUGAAAGUCGGUGUUUCCGGCACUUAUAGAUGGAUCCGCGCCGCAUGAGAUGGUUGUUAAGGUAACGGCUUACCAAGGGAACGAUGCGUAGACGAGCUGAUAGGGUGAUAGGCCACACUGGAACUGAGACACGGUCAAGACUACUAAGGGACGCAGCAGUAGGCAAUGUUACGCAAUGGGCGAAAGCAUGACGGAGUAACGCCGCGUGAGUGAUGACGGUCUUCGGAUCGUAAAAAUCUGUUAUUAGGGAAGAACAACUGUGUAAGUAAACAUGGCCGUAUUGACGGUAACUAAUCAGAAAGCACCGGCUAACUACGUG
rnacentral:rRNA from 1 species